GGGGGGGUCAGCCGUCUGUGGGCACCGGGCGCAGGUCUCUGCGCGGCGCUCGCUUGGCGCGUCACCGCGCGCUGUCCGCCGGGAACCGGGCGCGAUUUCGCGAGACCCUCUCCGCUCACGUGCUUCCGGGAAGUGACGCGCGUCAGAAAGCUCGUGCGGCGCUCGGGCCGGAGCUGGUCCCGCCCAGUCACGUGACGGCAGGCGUUGGCCACAAUUUCAGGCUGUGGCUGUGUUAGAGACGCUCGCAGGACGUUUCAAGACCACGUCUUCUGAAAACGAGGAUCAGUCGGUCUGUGAAGAAAACUUUCGGGACACGAGCAUGUACCGAAGGCGCCAUGAAAAACGAUGACUUGGAAACCUCUGUAAAUGAGCACAGCAAUGAUGGAACCACAGGGCUGCGGUCUACGCUGAUGUUUUAAACACAGCAGACGCGGGAAACUCUUCAGGGUGCGAUCCCAGGCUACCUUAGAUGCUCGUCACCAGAUUCUCUGUGUGCCCGGGACGCGCAGGGCAGACGGGCUGGGUGAGCACAUGUCCCUUCCUCUUGAGGUGCGAGCCCACCCACUCACCUCCCCGUUCUGCGCGUUAACCGGUCGCCUCUACGCUGUGUGGUCUUCAGUAAAAUCGUGACUCGGCGAAAGGUGGCACGUAAUUUGGACUCUCAAACCUAACUCGGGAUUGACCAUUUGUUUGCCAGAUCUCAGUGGCCGCAAGUCACAAAGAAUGUGCCGGAGACAGUAGCCCAACUUCCUGCCUUUACAGAUGAAGAAAUUGCUCUGCAGACAGCAAGUGGUUUGCUCCCGGCCACAAAAGCAAUUGGCACUCUCUGGUGGCUGCUGUUGAUGAUGAUGAUGGCUGGCCUUCGAAAGUCUGCUUUGGAGCUGACUCUUGAGGAGCAGGGGGUCUGUGUCCUCUCCUUCGGAGGGUCUUGGCUGCAGGGGACGGGGGCCACUCUAAGGACCUCGUCCUGAUUGGGUCACCUGCAGACACCGUUUCCAGAGAAGAUCACGUUCACAGGAACCAGAGAUUAGGACUCCGGUGUAUCUUUCUGAGAGAUGCAGUUCAACCCAUCAUGUCCCCCCCGCCGCAAGGAAAAAGAACGAAUGUUGCACACAUAAUUACAUCUGUGAGCAAAUGACUCCCUUUUGAUGUGCAAAAGCAGGAUUCGAUGUGUAAACUGGGCUCAGUGAUUUCUCACUCGGGAACAGCACUUUUCAACAACGGGACGGACAGGGCGCGUGCAGACCCAAGAGUCACAAACGACUGUGUGACAUGCCCAUACCAGCCAUCACAAGAGUGCCUCGUGCCGUGCUGGGCGGGGGGCACCGCCCAACUUCGGGACUGUGCUUCCUGCCAGGACUGUCCUCGGCCCUGCGUAGCUCAGGUGACAUUGGCCACCUUGCUGUCACUUAGCAGCCAAUGUGGCUGGGGAGUUGAGGGUGCCAGGGCUGAGUGAGGUCCCUUGGUGUAACUGGAAACCAAAAGAAUCACCAAGGGGUGGUGACAGUUACUCACAAAGAUGGGAAAAAUAACGAAAAUAACGGAGCCAGUGACGACAAGGAGUGGAGAGUGGAAGCAGGCAGCUUGCAGGAAACCACAUCCGUGCGGGGAUUGUGCCGAGGCCCCAGGGGCUGGGGUGGAAGCCAGCCUGCCUCGUGUGGGGCGUCUGCCGGUGUGACGGGGACGCUGCUGCGUCUGGGUGACCCAGUGACGUGCUUCCUGCCUUUUCUCCCGCCGCGAAGGGCUCCUCGGUGCUGCGUUCUGCCAUCAACCAGCAUCAGUGUGGCGACGGGAUGUGGAAUGGGGGCAAGUGUCUUAUUUUGGUAGAUUCACGUUUCUACAGAGUUGACUUUUCCCAAAGCUCUUUUACAAGGGGCUCGUCAAAUGGUACCUUCAGGGUGACCAUAUCAGAAGUGAUGUGAAGGUGACGCUCAGAUUGUCGUGUGCGCGACCCGCCUGGACUCCGGGCUGUCUGCGCCAUCUCUGGCAAGAGCGAUUGUCCAGAGAACCACCCGCCCUGUCGUGGACGGUGUCGCGUCCCCAGGACCAGCUGAUGCUCUGUGACCCUCCCCGGGGAAGCGCCGUGUGGGGUGUGCGUGCCCAGUCCGCGUGACCGCGGGAGCAGACGCAGUCCAGGUGUUUCCUUCUGGGGUCUGGACAGGCUGGCCGCAAACGUCCACGGCGGGUCGGAACCAGCCCUUUCCCUUCGUCCCCACCGUUCACCUCUGAGUCCCAGGCCCCAGGCUUGCCGCCUCCUCCAGGGUGGCUCCACUGACUGCUGGCAGCGAGACUGAUCAGUACGUUUGUCCAGGAGCCCCCUCCACUCCAAGUGAAGGAAGCUCGGGCAAAACCAGAGCAUUUUCUCCACCACACGUACUUCGAGAAACUUGGAGGGUGGUAUUUUCCCACAUACGAGGAAUGAGGCACACAGGACAGGCUCCUGACGCGAGGGGCUGGCAAAUGUGUUUCGUUUUGGAAGAUGCUGCGUUAGGAUCACGCGGUGGUGAGAUUAAGCUGCUGUUUCGGGUCACCGUUCAGUAAAAGGCACAGGCCCUUCACACGUGCACCUCACAUGCUUCGGCGUGUGCGUGGCUGACAAGAAGGGUGGAGGGGCUGCUUAUUAUUAUUUUCUGUUUCAUAACUCAACCGGAUACGCCAAGGGAUGAAAACAGGGUUUUAUAGGUGGGACUGGGUUUAGUGCUUUUCCUAUAAAAUAAUUUCCACAAAUUUAGCUUCAGGCUCUCUUCUCUGUCUGAUAUAGGAGACGGGAUUCACAAUACAUUUUUCUGGACCUCCAUAAAAUGCACACUCCUUAUGACCAACGAAAACCUCUUGGCCAGACUCCAGCCCUGCUGUCGGCAUCUGCUGCCCCUCCUGGCGGCCUCCCCCUCCACCCCUGUUCUUCCAUUCGAGGUUCGAGUGCCUUUUCAUUACGGACACGCCGACUUCUGGCUUCCGUGGCUGUUGGAUGCGUCCUGUCCACGUCCGCAUAGCACGUGUGUGCCUCAGGAUGACCCUUCACUGGACUGCGGGCAGCUCAGGGACCAGUGUGUUGUUCAUUUCGGGUCCGACCUUGGGCUUCGGAGGGGGCCUGAGGGCCAGUCUCGCUGUGCACAUCCCUGAAAGUAAACUUUAUUAGAAGAACCUGGGUCCCCCUCCCCUCCUCUGCCCCUCCCUCCCUGCCCCUCCCUCUCCUGCCUCCUGCCCUUUUUGCUCCUCCUUGUUGCCGAAAUUCCAUAUAAUCUAAGGAUCAUUGAAUAUAAUUAAAAAAAUCACAAAUAUGAAGUUAAUAUAUUAGCUUUCUUUAAUUUUGAUGCCUAGGUAAGAAAUAGUGAGUGGGAAAACAAUGAAUGACUUUGUCAUUCAACUAAUACAAAACUAGUUUUAUUCUCGCAAGAUGAAUAUACACAUAAAUGAGAAAAAAAUAAAAUACAAGGAAUAUUUAGGCCCAAUAA